CACAGAAGCCAUGGUCCCAAGGAUGUGAUUUCUGGUGGUUUUUGGUACAUAAGGAAGUCCAGAGGUGGUGAAAAUGGCUUUGCUUGUUUGUCCAGGUUUCUCAUGUAACCUGCAGCUAAUAUUCCUUAAAUCCCUAGCUGUCAUAGUCCUGGAGGUCCCACAACUGAAUCAUUUCUU